rnacentral:rRNA from 1 species
GGAUAGAUACCCUAUUAUUAUUUAAUUUAACGGGAGGAUUAUAUUAUUGAAAAUGAAAGUUUCUGGCGGUUAAUUAUUUUUAGAGGAGCUUGUUAUUUUUGAUAAGAAUUUACUCUUUAUAUUUUAUGUAUGAAAAAGUUUAUUCAUCUCCGUUAUUAGAUAGUAAAUCAGUAAAAUUUAUCUUAAAAUUUCAGGUCUAGAUGUAGCAUUUAUUGUAGAUAAUUAGCUACAGUUAUGGGGUAAUGGAUUUUUGUUUAAAAUCAGUAGGAAAGUGAAUUUGAUUGUAAUUUUAGCUAAAAGGCUAAAAGUAAGUUUUAUAAUUGAUGUACAUAUC